rnacentral:rRNA from 1 species
UCAACGCUGGCGGCGUGCCUAACACAUGCAAGUCGAGCGAGAAAGGGGGCUUCGGUCCCUGAGUACAGCGGCGGACGGGUGAGUAACGCGUGGGUAAUCUGCCCUUGAGUGGGGAAUAACACCGGGAAACUGGUGCUAAUACCGCAUGACGUUCCCGGGCCCUUGGGUUCGGGAAUCAAAGCUGGGGACCGCAAGGCCCAGCGCUCGGGGAGGAGCCCGCGUCCGAUUAGCUUGUUGGUGAGGUAAUGGCUCACCAAGGCUUCGAUCGGUAGCCGGCCUGAGAGGGCGGACGGCCACACUGGGACUGAGACACGGCCCAGACUCCUACGGGAGGCAGCAGUGGGGAAUUUUGCGCAAUGGGGGAAACCCUGACGCAGCAACGCCGCGUGGAGGAUGAAGGCCUUCGGGUCGUAAACUCCUGUCAAUCGGGACGAAAGCGCUCCGGCCUAACAGGUCGGGACGUUGACUGUACCGGUGGAGGAAGCUCCGGCUAACUCU